rnacentral:rRNA from 1 species
UACAGAGGGUGCGAGCGUUAAUCGGAAUUACUGGGCGUAAAGCGUGCGUAGACGGUAGCGUAAGUCAGAUGUGAAAGCCCCGGGCUCAACCUGGGAACUGCAUUUGAGACUGCUCUGCUCGGGUGCGGAAGAGGGAAGCGGAAUUUCCGGUGUAGCGGUGAAAUGCGUAGAUAUCGGAAGGAACACCUGUGGCGAAAGCGGCUCACUGGACCACAACUGACGCUGAGGCGCGAAAGCUAGGGGAG